rnacentral:rRNA from 1 species
UAAAGAUUCAUCGCUGAUAGAUAGGCAUGCGUUCCAUUAGGCAGUCGGCGGGGUAACGGCCCACCAAACCGACGAUGGAUAGGGGUUCUGAGAGGAAGGUCCCCCACAUUGGUACUGAGACACGGACCAAACUCCUACGGGAGGCAGCAGUGAGGAAUAUUGGUCAAUGGGCGUAAGCCUGAACCAGCCAAGUCGCGUGAGGGAUGAAGGUUCUAUGGAUCGUAAACCUCUUUUAUAAGGGAAUAAAGUGUGGGACGUGUCCUAUUUUGUAUGUACCUUAUGAAUAAGGAUCGGCUAACUCCGUGCCAGCAGCCGCGGUAAUACGGAGGAUCCGAGCGUUAUCCGGAUUUAUUGGGUUUAAAGGGUGCGUAGGCGGCCUUUUAAGUCAGCGGUGAAAGUCUGUGGCUCAACCAUAGAAUUGCCGUUGAAACUGGGAGGCUUGAGUAUGUUUGAGGCAGGCGGAAUGCGUGGUGUAGCGGUGAAAUGCUUAGAUAUCACGCAGAACCCCGAUUGCGAAGGCAGCCUGCCAAGCCAUGACUGACGCUGAUGCACGAAAGCGUGGGGAUCAAACAGGAUUAGAUACCCUGGUAGUCCACGCAGUAAACGAUGAUCACUAGCUGUUUGCGAUACACAGUAA